CGAAAGAUGGUGAACUAUGCCUGGCUAGGACGAAGUCAGAGGAAACUCUGAUGGAAGUCCGAAACGAUUCUGACGUGCAAAUCGAUCGUCAGAGCUGGGCAUAGGGGCGAAAGACUAAUCGAACUAUCUAGUAGCUGGUUCCCUCCGAAGUUUCCCUCAGGAUAGCUGGUACUCGAAAGAGUUAUAUCCGGUAAAGAGAAUGAUUAGAGGUUUUGGGGAUGAAAUGUCCUCAACCUAUUCUCAAACUUUAAAUGGAUAUCGUGGUCAAGCUUUCUUGAAAGAGAAGCUUUGACUCACAAUCACAUGAGUACUUAGUGGGCCAAUUUU
rnacentral:rRNA from 1 species